rnacentral:rRNA from 1 species
AUCUAUUAGUCUUGACCAAAUCAUGUGCCAGCCGUCGCGGUAAGACAUGGAAGACGAGCGCUAUUCAUCUUUAACAGGUUUAAAGGGUACUUAGACAGUUAAUUAAGCCUACAUAAGGGACUGACUAACUAGAGUUUAAUAGGAAAAGGAUAGAACGGUAUGUGGAGAGAUAAAAUAUUUUGAUACUUGCUAAAAUCUGACAACGGCGAAGGCAACCUUUUAUGUAAAAACUGACGUUAAAGGACGAAGGCUAUAAAUAAAGAAUAGGAUUAGAUACCCUAGUAUUCGUAGCAGUAAAUGAUGAGUGUCAUAGGUAAGUAAUAGCUUGCGUAUAAAUGAAAGUGUAAACAUUCCACCUUAAGAGUAAAAUGGCAACAUAGGAACUGAAAUCAUUAGACCGUUUCUGAAACCAGUAGUGAAGUAUGUUAGUUAAAUUGAUGAUCCACAAAGAACCUUACCACAAUUUGAAUGUAAAUUCACAGGAGUUGCACGGCUGUCUUCAGUUGAUAUCGUGAGAUUUUGGUUAGCUCCAUUUAAUCAA